rnacentral:lncRNA from 1 species
UAAAUUUAUAAAUAUUACUUAAUUGUGUUUUGCUUGUUCCUUCCAUCAAACUGGAUAGAGUUUUCACUAUUCAACACUAACUUUUGAUGUAUAUAAGAAGUCUGAAUUAAUCUUGUUUUUUAUUAUGAAAUCCAAAAGCAAGGAUUGAUAUUUGAAUCAAAUUAUUUUUUUAAUCAUGCAUACAGAAACCGAGUUUCACUCAUUUAUCCUUUCAAAUCAUUUGUGUUCCUAUUAAAGCUUCUAUUUGUACUCUGUCAUUCUUUUGAAAGCUUCUGCCAUUGUAUACAAUUG